rnacentral:rRNA from 1 species
ACGCUGGCGGCGUGCCUAACACAUGCAAGUCGAACGGAAUUUGAGAGCUUGCUCUUAAAUUUAGUGGCGCACGGGUGAGUAACGCGUAGAUAAUCUGCCUGAUGAUCUGGGAUAACACUUCGAAAGAGGUGCUAAUACCGGAUAAGCCCACGGGGUCUUUGGACUCUGCGGGAAAAGGGGGGGACCUUCGGGCCUUCUGUCCUCGGAUGAGUCUACGUACCAUUAGCUAGUUGGUGGGGUAAAGGCCUACCAAGGCUACGAUGGUUAGCUGGUCUGAGAGGAUGAUCAGCCACACUGGAACUGAGACACGGUCCAGACUCCUACGGGAGGCAGCAGUGGGGAAUUUUGCGCAAUGGGGGAAACCCUGACGCAGCAACGCCGCGUGAGUGAUGAANGCCUUCGGGUCGUAAAGCUCUGUCAGUGGGAAAGAAAUGUACGAGGGCCAAUACCCCUUGU